GAUGAACGCUGGCGGCGUGCUUAACACAUGCCAGUCGAACGGAAAGGCCCAAGCUUGCUUGGGUACUCGAGUGGCGAACGGGUGAGUAACACGUGGGUGAUCUGCCCUGCACUUCGGGAUAAGCCUGGGAAACUGGGUCUAAUACCGGAUAGGACGAUGGUUUGGAUGCCAUUGUGGAAAGUUUUUUCGGUGUGGGAUGAGCUCGCGGCCUAUCAGCUUGUUGGUGGGGUAAUGGCCUACCAAGGCGUCGACGGGUAGCCGGCCUGAGAGGGUGUACGGCCACAUUGGGACUGAGAUACGGCCCAGACUCCUACGGGAGGCAGCAGUGGGGAAUAUUGCACAAUGGGCGCAAGCCUGAUGCAGCGACGCCGCGUGGGGGAUGACGGCCUUCGGGUUGUAAACUCCUAUCGCUAGGGACGAAGCGUUUUUGUGACGGUACCUGGAGAAGAAGCACCGGCUAACUACGUG
rnacentral:rRNA from 1 species